rnacentral:lncRNA from 1 species
CAGACUGCCAGAGUCUUGCUUUGUUGACCAGGCUGGAGUGCAGUGGCAUGAUCCUGGCUCACUGCAACAUCUGCCUCCCAGGCUUAAGAAAUUCUCAUGCCUCAACCUCCUGAAUAGCUGGGAUCACAGGGUCUCGCUCUGUCACCCAUACUGGAGUUCAGUGGCAUGAUCUUGGCUUACUGCAACCUCCACCUCCUGGGCUCAAGUGAUCCUCCCACCUCAGCCUCCCAAGUAGCUGGAACCCUGGAACCACAGCCAGGUUUGCCCUCCAAUCAGUGGCCUGCCUUCAUUUUCCAGAUUGAUGAAGUCUGCCUCAGAGAAGGGGGUAGGUAACAAGACUGUGCCGAUGUGUCUAAUCAGCUGGAAAAGUUGUAAAAUGAAUCUUUCCUAUCUGGAAUUUAUAUUUAAUCAUAGUUAUGUUCUUUUUGUGAAUGUGUGUUGAUUAGUUAGUUGUCAGAAUAGGAAAACAAGAAGAGCUUUUAUUUAUACAGAUAAGUUAUGCUGGAGUAAUUAUUCAGGUCUGAUUGAGUUGAUGGAGAUUUUUACAUUACCUCAGCACACAGAGCCACUUAAUCUUAUUCAUAAUGUUAAUUAAAUACUCCAGGAGUUACUACCAUGCUCUCAUUUAUGGUGUUUACUAUUCAGGUUUGUUUAUAUAUGUGAUGACUUGUGGACCCCUCUUUUUCACUGGACCAUGCCCUUUUACAGUUGUAAAAUGCACCUCCACUCAUAGAAACUGAUCUUCAGCAGUUUAUUCACAGUGUUCCUGAUCCUAUCUAACUUGGGGAAGGAAACUCUCUUUGGUUUCAGAAUUGGUUAAGAUUAUGUCAUUGAACUGACUUUUAAUAGAUUUUUUUUUUUUUUUGGCUUAUGCCUA